rnacentral:rRNA from 1 species
GACGAACGCUGGCGGCGUGCUUAACACAUGCAAGUCGAACGGAAAGGCCCUGCUUUUGUGGGGUGCUCGAGUGGCGAACGGGUGAGUAACACGUGAGUAACCUGCCCUUGACUUUGGGAUAACUUCAGGAAACUGGGGCUAAUAUCGGAUAGGAGCUCCUGCUGCAUGGUGGGGGUUGGAAAGUUUCGGCGGUUGGGGAUGGACUCGCGGCUUAUCAGCUUGUUGGUGGGGUAGUGGCUUACCAAGGCUUUGACGGGUAGCCGGCCUGAGAGGGUGACCGGCCACAUUGGGACUGAGAUACGGACCAGACUCCAACGGGAGGCAGCAGUGGAGAAUAUGGCGCAAUGGGCGGAAGCCUGAUGCAGCAACGCCGCGUGCGUGAUGACGGCCUUCGGGUUGUAAACCGCUUUCGCCUGUGACGAAGCGUGAGUGACGGUAAUGGGUAAAGAAGCACCGGCUAACUACGUG